AGCGUUGUUCGGAAUUACUGGGCGUAAAGGGCUCGUAGGCGGCCAACUAAGUCGGACGUGAAAUCCCUCAGCUUAACUGGGGAACUGCGUCCGAUACUGGAUGGCUUGGAUUUGGGAGAGGGAUGCGGAAUUCCAGGUGUAGCGGUGAAAUGCGUAGAUAUCUGGAGGAACACCGGUGGCGAAGGCGGCAUCCUGGACCAAGAUUGACGCUGAGGCGCGAAAGCAUGGGGAGCGAACGGG
rnacentral:rRNA from 1 species